GUCUGAAUAGCUCAGUUGGUAGAGCAAAGGACUGAAAAUCCUUGGGUCAGUGGUUCAAGUCCGCUUUUAGACA
rnacentral:tRNA from 1 species